rnacentral:rRNA from 1 species
AAACUUUCAACAACGGAUCUCUUGGUUCUGGCAUCGAUGAAGAACGCAGCGAAAUGCGAUAAGUAGUGUGAAUUGCAGAAUUCAGUGAAUCAUCGAAUCUUUGAACGCACAUUGCGCCCUUUGGUAUUCC